rnacentral:rRNA from 1 species
UACGGGGGGUGCAAGCGUUAAUCGGAAUCACUGGGCGUAAAGGGUGCGUAGGCGGUGCAUUAGGUCUGUCGUGAAAUCCCCGGGCUCAACCUGGGAAUGGCGGUGGAAACCGGUGUACUAGAGUAUGGGAGAGGGUGGUGGAAUUCCAGGUGUAGCGGUGAAAUGCGUAGAGAUCUGGAGGAACAUCAGUGGCGAAGGUGGCCACCGGGCCCAAUAUUGACGCUGAGGCACGAAAGCGUGGGGAGCAAACAGG